AAUUUCGUGGAGGUCCGAACCCACGAGCGUUGAAAAGCUCGGGGAUGACUUGUGGAUAGCGGUGAAAUUCCAAUCGAGCCCGGAGAUAGCUGGUUCUCCCCGAAAUAGCUUUAGGGCUAGCCUCAAGGUGAGAGAUACGGAGGUAGAGCACUGAAUGUCCUAGGGGGUAUUGCACCUACCGAAGACUAUCAAACUCCGAAUGCCGUCAUCUUAUACUUGGGAGUCAGACUGUGGGUGAUAAGAUUCAUAGUCGAAAGGGCAACAGCCCAGAUCGUCAGCUAAGGUCCCUAAAUGUAAGUUAAGUGGUAAAGGAUGUGGGAUUGCACAGACAACCAGGAUGUUGGCUUAGAAGCAGCCACUCAUUCAAAGAGUGCGUAAUAGCUCACUGGUCGAGUGAUCCUGCGCCGAAGAUUUCCGGGGCUAAAACUUACUACCGAAGCUACGGCAUCAGUAAUGAU
rnacentral:rRNA from 1 species